AGUAAAAUGUAGGGAAAAGGUAUGGUUGCUAAGACUUUAUAGCAGUGGUUCUCAACCUGUGGGUUGUGACCCCUUUGGGGGUUGAACGACCCUUUCACAGGGGUUUCCUAAGACCAUCGGAAAACACAUAUUUUUGAUG